AAAUUGAAGAGUUUGAUCAUGGCUCAGAUUGAACGCUGGCGGCAGGCCUAACACAUGCAAGUCGAACGGUAACAGGAAGCAGCUUGCUGCUUUGCUGACGAGUGGCGGACGGGUGAGUAAUGUCUGGGAAACUGCCUGAUGGAGGGGGAUAACUACUGGAAACGGUGGCUAAUACCGCAUAACGUCGCAAGACCAAAGAGGGGGACCUUCGGGCCUCUUG
rnacentral:rRNA from 67 species